AAGCGCUUGAAGUCAGCUAUGCUGUUCGGGAUUCAGCCUUGCUUUUGCAUGGUGUAUUUCCCGGCGUGCAGGCCAGCAUCGGUUUCGGCUGCCGGAUAAGGGUAGGAGGAAUGUGGCACCCUCGGGUGUGUUAUAGCCUCCUACUGGAUACGGUGGCUGGGACCGAGGAACGCAGUGCGCCCUUGUGGUGGGCCUUCGGGCACCUUCGCACUUAGGAUGCUGGCGUAAUGGCUUUAAGCGA
rnacentral:rRNA from 1 species